rnacentral:lncRNA from 1 species
GAUUCUGAGAACUCUAUUUGAAGACUCUACAAAGAGAUAUCUGAAGACUAUAACUCUGAAGACUCUGAUCAUGCUCACCUCGCUCUGACACUUGCUCAGAAACACGCCAUCAGAUGUUACCUGGUCAUAAACUUAAGCUGAAAGCAUUCAAAUUGUAGUACAAUCCUUUUAAGCAAACAUUUUAUUAUGCUCCUAGUCUGCUAUGGAAAGGACAAGGAAUUUAC